UGCGUUUUCGCAGCGGAGCUCGACCGCCCUGCGACGAAUGAUCGCCUACAUCGAUGCUCAUCGCGGUCAGUUCGGGGGUCGAGCUCAUCUGCGCCGUGCUGCGGGCAGCAACCCCA
rnacentral:ncRNA from 1 species